GAUGAACGCUGGCGGCGUGCCUAAUACAUGCAAGUCGAGCGAACGGACGAGAAGCUUGCUUCUCUGAUGUUAGCGGCGGACGGGUGAGUAACACGUGGAUAACCUACCUAUAAGACUGGGAUAACUUCGGGAAACCGGAGCUAAUACCGGAUAAUAUUUUGAACCGCAUGGUUCAAAAGUGAAAGACGGUCUUGCUGUCACUUAUAGAUGGAUCCGCGCUGCAUUAGCUAGUUGGUAAGGUAACGGCUUACCAAGGCAACGAUGCAUAGCCGACCUGAGAGGGUGGUCGGCCACACUGGAACUGGAACACGGUCCAGACUCCUACGGGAGGCAGCAGUAGGGAAUCUUCCGCAAUGGGCGAAAGCCUGACGGAGCAACGCCGCGUGAGUGAUGAAGGUCUUCGGAUCGUAAAACUCUGUUAUUAGGGAAGAACAUAUGUGUAAGUAACUGUGCACAUCUUGACGGUACCUAAUCAGAAAGCCACGGCUAACUACGUG
rnacentral:rRNA from 1 species